rnacentral:rRNA from 1 species
UACGUAGGGGGGCAAGCGUUGUCCGGAUUUAUUGGGCGUAAAGAGCGUGUAGGCGGCCACACAGGUCAGCUGUGAAAACUCGAGGCUCAACCUCGAGACGUCGGUUGAAACCGUAUGGCUAGAGUCCGGAAGAGGAGAGUGGAAUUCCGAGUGUAGAGGUGAAAUUCGUAGAUAUUCGGAAGAACACCAGUGGCGAAGGCGGCGAUCUGGGUCGAUACUGACGCUGAGACGCGAAAGCGUGGGGAGCGAACAGG